GCUAGGGCGGGGAUCCCCAAGCAAAUGAGGCGUAAUUUUGACACUAUGGCCAUCCUUCUUCAUUGGAGGAUCUGGAAGGAAAGAAAUGCAAGGAUCUUCGAUAAUGCGGCGAGCACUCCUGACAGGGUUCGGGACCUUGUCUUGGAAGAUAUACACAUAUGGAGAUCAGCCGGCUGUAUCAGCGACUUGGCGACAUAA
rnacentral:rRNA from 1 species